rnacentral:lncRNA from 1 species
UCUUUUUUUUCUAGGGUCGGAGUUCACUCGGACCUCUCCCCUGUUGGCUAUCACUGCCCGACGCUACUGCUUCUCUCCUCCGAGGACCACCGAGAGGGAGGGGCGUCGGAGACCGUCAAGAGAAUUGAGGAGGCGUGUGGGGACCGUCGAGAGGAGAGAGGGCCAGCAAUACGUCAGGAAGGAGGGAGGGAGGUGGGCCGAGAGGAGGGAGGGGCAUUGGGGACCGAGAGGGAGAGGGAGGGGGUUCUCGCAUCGUAGGUGGAAUAGGUGACGAUGAUGCGAAUCGCCAUGGCUAUGAUCUUGAAAAAAAGGAACA